UUUCUAAAUAAAACGUGAAGAAAAAGAUUAUCCUGGAUGGAAUAUCCAGUCAUAAUCCCGAAUAUUAGGCUCAAGCUGUAAGAGCUUGCAAGCCAUAAAUAUUCGUCUUCUCUUUCACACUCCAAGAUUCAAAACCUCUUCUUAAUAAAGUUGGAAGAAAAAGAUUACCUGGAGGGAAUAUCCAGUCGUAAUCCCGAAUAUAACAGGGAUGUCGAUUUGGUUGAGUUGGUAAAGAUGUUGCUUGUUAAACCUUAAGUUCUGGGUUCAAUCCUUGGUUUUCAGCAUUUUUCAUUUUUAACAUAUUUUUUAUUUUCUACUAGUUUUUAUUAUUAUUACCAUUUUUAUUUAUUUUAAACCUUUUAUUUAUUUUUUUAUUUUUAUUUUUUCUCCUUUUUUUUUAAACACUUGUUGAUUUUAAUGUUAAACA
rnacentral:lncRNA from 1 species